rnacentral:rRNA from 1 species
GCAUAUCAAUAAGCGGAGGAAAAGAAACUAACAAGGAUUCCCUAGUAACGGCGAGUGAAGAGGGAAAAGCUCAAAUUUUAAAUCUACCUGGUUCCCAGGUCGAAUUGAAUUUUGAAGAAUCGAUAUUUGUGUUGAGGUCUGGUUCAAGUUCUUCGGAACAAGACAUCAUGGAGGGUGAGAAUCCCGUGCAUGAUCAGACCAAGAUACUUUAUAUUCGUUUUCUAAGAGUCGAGUUGUUUGGGAAUACAGCUCAAAUUGGGUGGUAGACUUCACCUAAGGCUAAAUAUCAGCGAGAGACCGAUAGCGAACAAGUACUGUGAAGGAAAGAUGAAAAGCACUUUGAAAAGAGAGUUAAAUAGUACGUGAAAUUGUUGAAAGGGAAACGAUUGAAGUCAGUCAUGCUAGUGAAAAUUCAGUUUGACGGGUUUUGGGUUUAAGAGUAAGAGGUAGGGUCAAACCGUCUCUCUUUUAAACUUGGGAUUUGUCGGAUGCACUUUUUCUUUGGCAGGUCAGUGUCGAUUUCGGGGGUUGUAAAAUACUUGGGGAAAGUAGCUCUGCUUCGGGAGAGUGUUAUAGACCUUGGGAGAUACAGCCUGUGGGAUCAGGAUUGCAGCAAAUGCCUUUGGCUUGUCGCCUGAUCUUUGGUUGUUACCUCGUUUAUGACAACAUUCUUGCCAUCGAUGAGUACUAAUGAUCAUGGGUUAGAACGAUCAAAAAUUUGCUAAGGAUGCUGACGUAAUGGCUCUAAACGACCCGUCUUGAAACACGGACCA